UCACUGAAAGCAGAGCUGGGAAGAGAUGGGCAGCAGUAGCCUGUCAUUAUAUAGUAGUUCCACCACACAGGUACCGUGGACGACAUUACAUACUCAGCCCUUUGAAGUCUCCAGCCCGAAUAUGACGGAUGCGGUUGAAGCGGGCGUACAGUUCUGAACCCCAGCAGAGUGUCAACCCCCUACCGGCGGAUAUGCCAGCAUACCAGAGUCUCCAGGAGGGCCUCAAGGAGAGGGAAAAGCUGCUAACGAGGGAAUUCAAGCUGAAAAGCAGUAUGACUACUUCAUUUGCCCCCAUGCCAAAUGACGGCCACAAAGUUAUUUAUUCUUCUCUACAGGCCUUUAAUUGUCUCUAAUCUAAUUAUCACUCAACCUGCUCCCCCAGCGACGCUAUUAAUUAAGGUAGGUGGCUUUUCUAGGCACAGCGGAGUUCUUGCAUUUCUUUGCUUCCUAUCCAGUUUGUGCACUCAGGAAGAAGCAUUAGGAACAGCCAGGCUCUCCCUUUGUUUUCUUUUUUCCUCCCCUGCAGCUGUUUCCCCUUCUCUCCCUGAUCCUCCACUCCACAUAGCUCUGACUGCACUCCUCUUUGGCACCCCUGGUGCUGGGUUAUGGCUGCCGGCCCAUGACCUGUGGCUAUUGAGACCUGUGCCUGUGAACUUACCAUGGCUGGUCAGGGAAACCAGCAGGCCCCGCGUCGUAGGCCUGGCCAUUGUGGGGUUUGAAGGGGGUGUCCUUGGAGCCCUUGUGCUCUGAGAGAAACUUGUCCUGGUUGGAGAAGCCAGGCUGGUCCCUUUAACCUGGAGACACAGUAUACAGUAAGCCAGCUUUGAGGGGCUGAGAGGGACUUCACUUUGGAUUCUGGGAACUUCAGCGACCAAUUUCAAGCUUGCAAAGAGUCACUGUGGAAAACGAGGGAGGGACGGCAGGAAGAGUGAACAAGGCAAGGGCCUUCUGAGCAUCUGGUCCCUCAUCAUGACGUGGAUGAGGAAACUGAGGUCCAGAUGGGGAGGGACUGAGCUCAAGGGGCCGUCUGGUGGCAGAGCCAGAACCACAUCUCCAGACCCCCCAGACUGGGCUUUUCCCUUGCCCGCACAGACCAAGGUCAGACAGCAGAUGAGUGCAGACUUCAGAUCAGUCCCUGCAAAGGCCAGAAAGGGCUGAAAAAUGAAUUUCAGAACUGAAGAUAGUCUAAGAAAAGACAGGUUGUAGCAUUCCUUUUUCCAAGGGAGAAUGUGAGGACAUUGCUGUUGUCCCAGUGAGAUACACCUUAUGGUCUUGAAGGCAGAGGGAAGGAGGGAUGUAUGACUUCUAAGGGAAGUCCCACAAAAUUUGCUACAAACAGACAAAGAACUUGAAGUUUUGUGUCCUCUUUCUUAGUAUUAUCUAAACGACAAGUUCCUGUGGAGGGAUAAGAAUUUCCACCUCCUAGAGAAAGUUGGAGGCUUGAGAUACCUGCAUUAUGGAACAGGUAGAGAGGGACCAGGCC